UUAAAUUCAAUAUCUCCAUUUGCUCUUCUCAUUCUCUUCUAAACCCUCUACAGUCUGACUUCUGACCUCAUAAUUCAACUGCAACUGCCCUCUCCAAAGUUACCACUGAUCUCUUAACUGCCAAAUCUAAUGGUCUUUUCUCAAUCUUCCUCCCUCUUGACCUCUCUGUAGCAGUUGAUGCUGUUGACAGCAUUCUCUUCCUGAAUAUUCUCUUCUCUGGAUUUUUGACACUGCUCUUUAUUGGUACUUCUCAUGUCUAUCUGACCUUUCUUUCUCAGUCUCCUUUGCUGGAUCUUUACCCAUUAAAGCUGGGUGUCUCUCCCUACCCACCCGGACUCUGUCCUGGGCUCUCUCCUAUUUUCUCUCUCUGUAUUUUCAGACUUGACAAAUCUCAUCAGCUGCUGUAAAUUUAAUUGUCAUUUCUAUGUAGAUGACUUUCAGACCUAUAUAGAUCCAGCCCUUUAAGCAGACUUUAAGCAGAGGCUGGAUUAUCAUUUGUCAGAUUAGAGGAAUGGCUGAGAAGAGAAGUCACUGAUGUUUUGAAGUACAGAAGAAAAGAGAUGAGGGAACACAUGACUUCUCAACAAAAUAGAAGAUGAAUUGAUCAACUAAGAGAGAGAAAGGUUAGGGCCACAGUGAGGAGUUUGAGCAGAAAGAAGAAUGUUUGGGACAGCCUCUCUGAACCCCCAGGAUGAUGAGAUUCAAAGCAGCAGCCUUUCCAGGGAUCCUCAAGACAGAUGUCAGCAAGGACCAGCUGACCAGCUGGACAGGGAAAGGACUGACACUUCUUCUGGGAGUCCUACUUCCAAAUUCUCCCCUUGUAUCCCAAGGCCACACUGUCUGUCAAGGACCUUGAAGGGGACUGAAUUAACACAGCUGGAACUGGACACAAGUCUGAGAAAUUAAGUAAUGAGGAU
rnacentral:lncRNA from 1 species